UGGGGAAUUUUGCGCAAUGGGCGAAAGCCUGACGCAGCAACGCCGCGUGCGGGAUGAAGGCCUUCGGGUUGUAAACCGCUUUCAGCAGGGAUGAAAUUGACAGUACCUGCAGAAGAAGCCCCGGCUAACUACGUGCCAGCAGCCGCGGUAAUACGUAGGGGGCAAGCGUUAUCCGGAUUUAUUGGGCGUAAAGAGCGCGUAGGCGGCUUGUUAAGUCAGAUGUGAAAACCGGGGGCUCAACCCGCGGCCUGCAUCUGAAACUGGCAGGCUUGAGUCUGGUAGAGGAAAGUGGAAUUCCCAGUGUAGCGGUGAAAUGCGCAGAUAUUGGGAGGAACACCAGUGGCGAAGGCGGCUUUCUGGGCCACGACUGACGCUGAGGCGCGAAAGCUAGGGGAGCGAACAGG
rnacentral:rRNA from 2 species